rnacentral:rRNA from 1 species
AGUGAACGCUGGCGGUAGGCCUAACACAUGCAAGUCGAACGGCAGCACAGUAAGAGCUUGCUCUUACGGGUGGCGAGUGGCGGACGGGUGAGGAAUACAUCGGAAUCUACUUUUUCGUGGGGGAUAACGUAGGGAAACUUACGCUAAUACCGCAUACGACCUACGGGAGAAAGCAGGGGAUCUUCGGACCUUGCGCGAUUGAAUGAGCCGAUGUCGGAUUAGCUAGUUGGCGGGGUAAAGGCCCACCAAGGCGACGAUCCGUAGCUGGUCUGAGAGGAUGAUCAGCCACACUGGAACUGAGACACGGUCCAGACUCCUACGGGAGGCAGCAGUGGGGAAUAUUGGACAAUGGGCGCAAGCCUGAUCCAGCCAUACCGCGUGGGUGAAGAAGGCCUUCGGGUUGUAAGGCCCUUUUGUUGGGAAAGAAAAGCAGCAGGUUAAUACCCCGCUGUUCUGACGGUACCCAAAGAAUAAGCACCGGCUAACUUCGUG